AUAAUGAAAGUAUAGCAUUUACAUACGAAGUCAUUUUACCCUACAUCCAAUAGUAAGCUACACCACAUGUUUGCACCCCGUGUGACGUCACACAUAUCCCGGCAUUCAAGACUGACCCGGCAAACCCCGGCAAAGAACUUAUUUUAUGAAUGAAAGCUAUUAAGAAAUAAAUCAUACGCGGUUAAAGAGUUCAUGUCAUGUAAUAUUUUGUUAAAUAGCUUUUAUGUUUCAAAUGAUUUUUUUCAGCAGCAAUCGAACUAUUGUAUUUGUUUGAGUAAAUUAUUUUGAUUAUACCUAUCACAGUGUGUCAACGUUAUGCCUAUUGUUAUUUUGAACUAUAGGGUGUAGUUUUUAAAGUCAUACACAAUAUGGCGGCGAUUAUGCGGAAAUGAAAUUGAAUGUUACUUCGAACACGUUCUUCUACAAAAUAACCUACCUGUAUUUAGUGCUAUUGCUUUAACAUCAAUCGAAGCAAAAAUGGCAUCAAUGUAUGCGUCUAAAAAUAAUAAAUUUAGAUGGAGACAAUCCAGAAAUGAGCUGCCAGGAAGUGAUCGAUUUCGGACACGAAGAUUGAGAAGUGCCUGGAUACAAGGCUAGUAUUGUUAACAUCAUCUGAUACAAUCAACUGGAACAAAGCUGAAAUGGCUGCCUGACCUGACUUAAAAAUUGGAUGGCAGUACAUCAGACUAGAAGAUUACAAGUAUUGAGGUGGACAAAAUGAAAGCAGAGCCUACCAAAGCUGACAGAUUGCACAAGAAACACAUAAAUGCAGAUUGGAAGAUUCAUUCUCUGGAAAGUAGAAAAGGGCAUGUUACAUACUGUUAUCAUUGCCAUGACAGAAACCAUAUUGAGGAGCUGGUCCACCUGUAGGAAGAAUUGCGCUAUUGGUUGGAGCAGCACUAUUACCCAGCCAUACACCAGCACUUAGUUUGUCAUAGGGAGCAUUUCUGAGCAGUUAUGGAGACCACUAACUAUGCAGUUGUUGCAGUGAAACUUGCACCAGUGUGUUUUCUGUGGAGAUAAAGAGAUAGUGUCCAGCAAUGAAGACCCAACUCAAGAUCUGACCUUGUAAGGCCAAUAUGAAAUAACUGUGUGGGAAAAUGGGAAAAACCUGCAGUCAGGAAUGCACGGAAAUCAUCAAAAGAACAGUGUUAAAUUAAUCUUGAAUAACUUGACAUUUAUUUUGUUUGACAUAUUUAUUCAUGGUGCAGUGAAAACAUUCUCUUUUUCUCAUGGUUAUUUAAAUUUAGAAUUGAUAGGAGGGAACAUCACUAUGUAGUUUCAUGUUCAUAGUCAGAUCAAAACCCAUUUACAUGCCCAAAUGAGCAUUCGAAAAUAUCAAAAUGGUACUUGUUGUAUGUAGUGUAAGUUAAUUAACGUAAUAAACAAAAAUAUUUAA